rnacentral:tRNA from 1 species
GGGCUCGUAGCUCAGUCGGUAGAGCGAGGGCCUGAAAAGCCCUGCGUCGGUGGUUCAAUUCCGCCCGAGCCCACCA